AGACACCUGCCCUGGGGCCGUGUUGCUCUUCUGAUGGUUCAGACUCAGUGUGCAAAGAGAUUUCUGUUUGAAAGACUAUGAGGGAUCUGCAUCAACUCUACUGACUUGAGUCCAGCCACAAAUUAUUUGUGACGUGGGUGAGAAACACGUGCAGCUUUGGUGGGAGCUGAAUUUCCAUCAGCAGAGACAUCCCGGCAGCAUAAAAAAAGGAGUAGAAGCUCACCAAAAACGUCCUAGGGUGGAAAUAGGGAAGGGCUUCAAGGAGGUGAUGGACCCUUCGGCUCAGCUGACAGGUGGAAG